GAUUAAAUGAUUUGUCUGAGACUGAGAAAGUAGCUUUGUCCAUAAUCCAACUCUACUGACUUCCAAUUCAGGUCUUUCUACUUUAUCCUAAGAUGUAUAUUCAGGGAAAAUUACUAUUUGUCAACUUUAUUUUCAAUGGUUAUGGCACAUCUGCUAAGGAUCUUCAAAAGCAAACUGUGAAGACAAGGAGUGAUUAUCAUAUGGGAUAUUUCCUACCCAAUGACUUCAAGAUCCGGGCUCAACCUACUUCGUGUUUUGAAAAUAAGGAUACAUUUCUCUAAAAACAAAACCGACAUAACAAAAACAACCCAGCCAAAGAAAUUCUUGGCAUCAUGUGGUAUCCAACUCAAAUAGAGAGUACUAUAGAAAAAGC